CCUCUACCAGGAGGAGGUCCUUCAGACACUCCCACCUCCUUCACUAAGACACUUCCUUCUCCAGCUCAGACUCUCUGCUGCGUUCGUGUCGACUGACCAGAGUCCAUGAACGCAGCGCUGUUCCUCUAACUUCAACCUGACCACACAUCCAGCACAGCAGCACAUCUGCCUCCAGCAGCUACAUUCCAGCAGCUCUGCUCAGACAUGUCGCUGUACAGCUUCGGCCUGGAGCCUCUUUCCUGCCACGCCUGGAACAAAGACAGAACUCAGAUCGCUGUGAGUCCGAACAACAACGUGGUGAACAUCUAUGAGAAGAAAGGCAAAGACUGGGUAAAGAUUCAUGAGCUAACGGAGCACAGCGGACGGAUCACAGGCAUCGACUGGGCUCCAGAGUCCAACCGGAUCGUGACCUGUGCUUCCGACCGGAACGCCUACGUCUGGACCAUGAAGGACGGCCUUUGGAAACCCACCCUGGUUCUGGUCCGGAUCAACCGAGCCGCCACCUGCGUGAAGUGGUCUCCUCUGGAGAACAAAUUCGCUCUGGGCAGCGGAGCUCGGCUCAUCUCGGUCUGCUACUUUGAGAAGGAGAACGAUUGGUGGCUCAGUAAGCACAUCAAGAAGCCGAUUCGUUCCACCAUUCUAAGUCUGGACUGGCAUCCCAACAACAUCCUGCUGGCUGCUGGAUCUGCAGACCUUCACUGCAGGGUCUUCUCGGCCUACAUCAAGGACAUCGAAGACAAGCCUGGACCGACCGCCUGGGGGGCCAAGAUGCCGUUUGGGGAGGUUCUCCUGGAGCAGAAGGACUGUGGAGGGUGGGUCCACAGCGUGUCCUUCUCCCCCAGCGGAGACCAGCUGGCCUGCGUAACCCACAGCAGCAGUGUGAUCGUAGUCGAUGCAGCUCAGAGCAAACAAGUGACCCAGCUGACCACCGAACAUCUGCCCAUGCUGAGUGUCCUCCACGUCAGUCCCACCGAGCUGAUGGCCGCGGGCCAUGACUCCUGCCCCUACCAGUUCACCUAUAAAGGUCCUGGAACUCUGAAGUUUGUCAAGAAACUGGACAUCCCCAAGCAGACGUCCAAAGGCAGCAUGUCUGCCAUGCAACACUUCCGUAACCUGGACAAGAGGGCCACAGAGGACGACUCCAACGAGCUGGACACCCUCCACCAGAACAGCAUCACGCAGCUGUGUGUUGUUUCAGGAGAGAAAACCAAGGUGGAGAAGUUCAGCAGCGUUGGUCUGGAUGGUGCGAUGGUCAUCUGGGAGUUUAAGGUGUCAGACUUUACUCUGAAGUAAAGAUGAGAUCCUCUGAUUUGUCUACACUGAUAGAACCCAGCUGAGAUUUCAACAUGACCCUUUAAUAUUCACGGAAGCACUGAGUUCUUCUCAGAUCUUCCAGACGUCCAACACCUUCAGCAGCUGGACUUUAAAGUCUGUCAAGAAAAAACUGAUGUUUUAAAUCAAUAAAGAUCUGAACAACUGAA